rfam:Trichobilharzia regenti genome assembly, scaffold: TRE_scaffold0006997
GUACUGCUGAAGAGUCUCAAGCUAGGACGAAACAGAUGUCCAGCAC